rnacentral:misc_RNA from 1 species
AAUUUUAAUUUUUCAAGUAGCAGUCAAGUGAUACAAACAUAAAAGAAAAUUGAAUUGUAUAUUUACCUUGUUUUCGCCUAUACAAACUACUUCUCAGCAGCUAAAAAACUAAGCUUCAAAUCCAAUUUGUGAAAAAAAAAAAUUGAACUCAAUAAAAUUGCACUGUGCCCGAUACGGUGAUGGGCGGACUGAAUUCAACACGAGUUGCUUUCCCCUCUGAGAACCAUUGAGGCAGUGUGUUGGCUUCCUUGGGUGCUACUCCCUCUGCGGUCCAUAUGGUAACAUGCGGCCACUCAUUUUUUGAAACUACUUUUUCGCCAUCAACAGAACCUGGUUGUGCUUCUAGGGCAGCCAUUUUAUCUGUGAAGAGAAGUGCAGUCAAUUCUACUGGAACCUUCUGAUUGAGAAACAGUCCAUAACUUGCUACCGCUGUAACGCCAUGACUUCUCUUGUGGGCAAGGGUCAAGUGAGUCUCCUUAAGGUUGUGCUCCAAGUGCUUGUCCUGAAGAAAGGCUACAACCUUGGGGUUCUUCUGAGCCAAAUUGUUGAGGGAACUACAGAUUUCUGCAACUGGCAAAUCGAUAGCAGCAAAAACAAUUGUUCCAAGUUUCCUCCUCUCAAUAAUUGGUGUUGUGUAUUCACCCUUAGCAAUUUUUCUUAGCUGUUCCAGCACUUGCUUAACUGCAGACUCAAAAGGAACCUGAAUGGAAUUGAGGUACUCCGCAUUGCUGAAUAGAACUUCACGCAACCGCUUCUCCCAAUUUGCCCAUUCCUUUGCAUAUGACCCCUUGGUAGAUUCCAUUCUAAGAACAGAAUAAUAUAAAAAAGUAAUAUGUACCUCUUGAUGGGAUAUAGGCAACAGUGAUAGAAGUGGCACCAUAAAAUAAAGCAUGAAGACUAUCAUGUAAUCCAUAACAGAAAUUUUCAAUUCAGAUGAAAGACAGAUUUUAUUAUCUGUCCACUGGGAUAUUGGUCAAUGUUGGAAAGAUACGAUAAUUUGGAGAAACAUAGUUAGGAUUUUCUAUGACAAGAUUUAAAAAAAAUUAAAACACAGAAGAAAUAGCCUGCACAUGAUCUAUUUUUAUCCAAAUCUGAGUAGGGUAUUAUGCAAGAAUAAAUUAUUCCUAAUCUUGAUUGCAUAAUCAACAGUAACUUGGCAAAAGAGUAAAUAGGUGUGAAGACUGAAGACCAAUGAAAGAAAGCAUUAGUAAGUAAUUAGCUUCUCAUCUCUUUAGUGCUUAGCUAUUUACUGUUAUAGCUUUAUUAAAAAAAAAAAUCCUUCACACUCACCUUCACAAUCAACAAUUCCAAAAAAGUGAAAUGCCUAAUGUCAAUAUUAGUCUAUUCUACAAAAUGCAAAGCAAAAAUCUGAAAAGAAAGCAUAUAAUAGAUACACACCUGCCAUGGCUGUUGGUGUGAAGCCCGUAUAGAUUUAUUCCCUCUUCCAAAAUUGACCUCACAGGAUCUGGCAGAGGACUCCUAUCCGAUUUCAGCAAUGGCAUCUUCACUAGAGAGCCAAAACGUUCAAUUAAUUCACUCUCAAACUCUUGUUGACUCUUGCCAUCAUAAAGAUGAUAAAACAUUAAAAGCACGUAACCAGCAUUUGGAGAUGCUUUGUCCAGAUUUCCCGGAUGAUUAACUCGUUGAAGAACACGGAAAAUGAAAACUGAUAAUGCAUCAAGAGAAAAUGGAUUUGAAUCUGUUCCUUCAGAAUCAGGUAUAACAGGAACAGCUGACGCUCGGGUGCUACGGCACAUAUCUUCAAUCUGUCUCCAAACUUCUUCAUUUGGUGCAUUCUUGUCAGCCAGCAUUAUAGAAUAUGGUUUUCUCCUGCGCUCCUCAGCAACCUUCUGCCAAUACUUUCCUUUGAUAAGGUCCCCCAUCAAACUAUGGACAGGGCGAUCAUCUCCAAGUCCUCCAGGGGCAUUUAGUAAUUCCUUGCAAAGAGCAGACUUAGCACAACCAGGUAUUCCUGGAAAAAAUACAAUUAAACCCUCAUUCUUUUGAACAGUGUCCUUGACUGAGGACAUAGGGCUCGGGGGCGCCACCUCUCGCUCUGUCUCAAGAUCACCCUCUUCAUCCCUGUCUCCUAUAAUGGCCAAGAAAUCUUCAGCCCUAACUAAACUUCCAGCAGAUCCUAUCAGAGCCUGAUUCUCUGGACUUCGACUUGCAUACUGUUCAAGAAAAGGCUCAGCUUCACUAAGGUAUAUUGAGGAUGACAACUGUUUCUUUCCAUGUUUUCUUCGGAUGUAGACAGCCCAUUCAUCAAGCAUCUUGCUGAGUUCUCUCUGCUUUCCAGCUGAUGUGCCCCAUAUUUUCAUCUGCCUCAGGUAGUAGGCCUUGUAAGCAGAUGGACCAUCCUUGAAAAGAAUCGACAAACCAUUGCGGAUCAAAAAGGUUCUUAACUUAUAUGUAAGAAAUUUUAAUUUUAUCAUUAAAUUUGCAUCUUCGUCAGCUAUACCAUCUUUUGCAGAUACAGCAUCAUUGCCAUUAAUAGUUUCCUCCAUGUUAUUGUUAUUUUUUGCAAUUUCAGCAGCUCUCUCCUUGUUUGCCUUGAAUAAAUUGAUGUCAACAAAAAAACCUGGGCAAAUAUAAAAGAGUCAAAAACAAAUUCCAUAGCUCAUAAGGUCCCACCUCUUAACUCUUACUCCUUCACACCCCCACCCCAACCUGUUUCCUUCUGUUUCAUCUUAUCUCCACCACCACCAACCAAGGUCACUUCACAUAAAGAUUAUUAAAUAUAUUACAUGUGCAUUUACCACUUCAUAAAGAAACCGGGAUAGUAAGCCCAUUCCUUUAUUGAAGAUUAUGAUCAGUAUUAAAAAAUUUUUACCUCGAUACAAUGGCCACAACCCUGGCUUGUGCCUCAUCUCUUUUUGAUAUCGCCGAAAUCCAGAGUCACUGUGGACAUGAAUAACCAUCUUGUAGAAAAGGUUGUCACUUGAUACAGAAUCAAUUUUUUGGAAGUUAUGGUAACAUUUAAAAGCAGCUGGGAAGCGUCUUUCUCUCAGCAAACGAACCAUUUCCUGCAACUUCUUGGUUGAAUAAUCAGUGGGGUGAGCUUGUAAAAAUUUUGAAACAACAGAUCUGUCAGCAUUUCUUGAAUGGGUAUCACCACCUUCAAUCCCAAACCAGUCUGAAUUGUCAGGGCAAAAAGAAGAGCCAAUGCUCUGAAGUAGCGCUUUUAUUUGCUGUUUUUCAUCAGCCCUAUUAGCAGCACAAAUUUCUCUUAGACUUAGUCCCAAAUCAAGGUCCGCUCUUUCAGCUGGUGAAGGAGGAUGUUCCCUCAAGACAUCCUCCAUGUGUUUUGAGCUGUCAGGACCUACAAUCCGAGCAACAAGACCCUCCAGGAUUUCACCCUGCACCUUUAUAUGGUCUUUUGAACCUGGGACAGAAAUAUCAGCAACUUCAUCAAGAGCCCUACAUACAGUGGUUGCUGUUCCUUCUUCACAUAGUGCAUCAUAGGCAGCAAAAAAAGACGUUACUGAUUUCCUCGUUGAGAACAACCAAACAUGAUUUGUUGGAAGGCGCCAUUUUCGACAAAAGGCAAUCAAUUCAGGAGUUGAGUAGAACUUUGGCUUUCCAUUGCCUAACUCUGUGACUGCUGUGACCACCACUGCAAUAAUGAAGACAUAAUGAAACCAUUAACAAAGUGAUUCAACAGGCCCCAAAAGAUUGGACAAAUCUAAUAAUACUACUUUGCAGUUUACACAUAAGCGGAGAGUGGACAGGCCUAAUGACAUAUUAUACUGUGCCCUCAAGAAAAAUGAUAAAUAAACCAAAUUUGUUUUCAGUAAAUAAAUUUUUCAUAUAUAUGACGUAGUUGACAACUGAAAUCCCAAAUAUCUUUUGCUUCUGAGAAACAUUACCUUUUGUUAUGGCCAAAAAAUCUAUUUGAAACAGUACCCAGAAUACCAUGAAUAUUGAAAAUUAAGAAGGCGAAAUGCAAUCUAUCAAAAUAGCCUACUACUAACAAGAUAUCCAAUGUCAUCUAAUACACAACUCCAAUGUGGCAAGACAGCAUCCAUGUGAUCUGCUUCACACAGUAUAAUGACCCUUGCUGGUAUAACCAGCAUCUCAAUCAUAUAACUGACAUGAAAAUUUAACUAUAAAGAAAUCAGCAUUGCAAAUGACUGACUUAUCUUGGAAUGGAAAGCAAGCAUCAAGUUACUAAUCCAGUAAGCACAAUCAUCAUGACCACAAUCAAUUGCUUGCUUCCAUGAAAAGUUCAUCUACUGUUAUGGUGCCAACCCAAAAUCUUAUGCCAUAAUCCUCUCGGGGUCGUUGCCCAUGGUCUCCUAGAACUGCAGUUACCAAUUCCAUUGAUAUACACAUUCGGUUUCUCUCAAGAAACUCAUUGAACUCUGCUUGCUUUUUUGCAGCUGCGGUUCCCCAUGCCUCAUGAAACAUUCGACCAAGAACAAAGACACCAACAGCAGUGUAUAUAUUUCCGAAGCUAUUUUUUGCAUAUGCUCCACCCUUAUGACCCGCAUACAUAAAAAGAGACCCAGAAUGCUUGAGUGUGACCUCCAAUGUAGCCAGCCCUUUAGAUACCAUCUCUAUCAUUCUGAUCCUAAUCUCCUGAUCAGACUUCUCAUUUUCAAAUUUGGGAUAGAAAGUGGCUCUAAUUUGGGCUUGUGAAUAAGUCGAAUUAUCCACAGCAAAAUUUUCUAACAGAUUACCCCUAAAGAAUUGACUCAAGUUAACACUACUCUUCCGAGCUGCCACCGAAGCUGUACCAGACGCACUGCUCUGGACAUCAACCAGCAUUCCAUUAGAAGGCACAUUUUCAACUUCCACAGUUGAAGCUCCACUUACUGUUCCAUAGGACAUAGGCUUCCAUAUAGCCUUUUGACCUUGCAAGUUACACUGAUUAACCACUUGCGCAUUACCAAACGGCACGGGCAAUGGCUCCACAACAUGACUCUGGCCACUGCUUUCGGCUAUACUCAAACCACCAAUUCUAUCGGUAACCGCCGCAACCGAUGCACCCAGACCGGAGGGAGACGGCUGGUCCGUGGUUGGAUUCGGUUUCCACUGUUGUCCUUCAAGCCCGCCCUUUCUCUGAGACAUGAUUAGAUGAGAAAUGGAAAGAGAAGAAGAGCGAGGUAGGGCUAAAAAGGAAGGAGAAGAUCGAAGGAAAAUGAAGCUUUUAGAUUUGAGGUUUAGGGAAGGAGGAGAAAACGGGAGAGUCAGAGAAAGUGUGAAGAGGAUGCUUCGCAUAGUUGGUGUGGCAAUGGCUAUAAAUAGUAACCGAAAGAACGG